AUGAUCCAGGUUUGCGUGCAUGACUUAUGCUUGGUCUACCACAUAUGCCAUGGCGACGUUCAGUGCGAGGAAUUUAAGAAGUUCCUCAAGGGCGGCCGAGUCAAAUUCAUUACUGUAGACUUUAGGAACGACAAGGAAAUCCUGGGUCGGAUAGGCCUCGUUGUAGGCCAGCCCUUCGAUCUCCAGAAGGCAAGCCUGGUGUCCUCCUCUCACCCUUCAAUGCUGACCCUAGCAGCAGCCAUGGUUCAUCCUUCGUACGGUAAACUAGAGAAACCUCCAUACACGUUUCAUCGUCAUGCAUGGCAGUGGAAUGUAUUAGAUAUAGACCACAUAGACUACGCUGCAAUGGAUGGCUACCUUUGUUUCCAUAUCUAUAAGGGUUGGAUGAAGAGCAAGAGCCAAGUGUGCGGUUCAAGCAAAGAUGUAUCGCCCAAGAGGAACAGGGACAAGGACGAAGUCGAGGACAUGGACGAGGACUCCGAGUAA
rnacentral:rRNA from 1 species